CGCCCNAGCUGCUCCUCNCACAUUNNUCGUCAUCCCUAUGNGCACCACCGCGUGNGUCCCCCUUCUGGCGUCGUAUCCGAGGUGGGUGCUCGCGNUUUACACAGCUCAAGCUUGACGCGAGUAGUAGAUAUGCUACUUUUUUCUUUUGCGAUCACNCGCNNUCNAUACUAGACGUUUCAACAUACGGUAUACAUCAUUGNCUCUCGCAGCGAUGAAGAAUGCAGACGAAAUGCAAUCACGUNAUGUGAAUUGCNGAANUCAGUGNAUCAUCGAAUCUUUGAACGCACACGUUGCGCCCCUUGUCAUUCCGAGGUGCACACCUCGUUUGACGUGUCGUGAAAUUCUCAAAACGCCUUUCUUUAUUGGUCUUUCGAUCGAAUGAAAGGCUUUUGGACUUGGCAUGGCUUUUUGCUGGUAUUCACUCGUUGAAGCGAGCUCCUCCAUAAAUGAAUCAGUGGUGGACCGCUGUUGCUGCAUCCUUGACGUGAUAAGAUGUUUACUACGUCAUUGGGUUUUGGCACUGUCCCUUGGGCACCUGCUUCANACCGUCUCAAUGACAACGAUGGUGUUCCGGUCACCGCCGCUUCGUCGGCGGGAGGCUUGACCCACAAAUGAACCUUGACCUCAAAUCGGGUGAGACUACCCGCUGAACUUAAGCAUAUCAAUAAGCGG
rnacentral:rRNA from 1 species